rnacentral:rRNA from 1 species
GGGCCCGCACAAGCGGUGGAGCAUGUGGUUUAAUUCGAUGAUACGCGAGGAACCUUACCAGGGUUUAAAUGUAGAAUGACCGGGGUGGAAACACCCCUUUCUUCGGACAGACUACAAGGUGCUGCAUGGUUGUCGUCAGCUCGUGCUGUGAAGUGUCGGGUUAAGUCCCAUAACGAGCGCAACCCCCAUUUCUAGUUGCCAGCGGUUCGGCCGGGGACUCUAGAGAAACUGCCAGCGUAAGCUGUGAGGAAGGUGGGGAUGACGUCAAAUCAUCACGGCCCUUACAUCCUGGGCCACACACGUGCUACAAUGGUAGGGACAACAGGUUGCCAACCCGCGAGGGUGAGCCAAUCCCAAAACCCUAUCUCAGUUCGGAUCGGAGUCUGCAACUCGACUCCGUG